UACGUAGGGUGCGAGCGUUAAUCGGAAUUACUGGGCGUAAAGCGUGCGCAGGCGGUUUGCUAAGACCGAUGUGAAAUCCCCGGGCUCAACCUGGGAACUGCAUUGGUGACUGGCAGGCUAGAGUAUGGCAGAGGGGGGUAGAAUUCCACGUGUAGCAGUGAAAUGCGUAGAGAUGUGGAGGAAUACCGAUGGCGAAGGCAGCCCCCUGGGCCAAUACUGACGCUCAUGCGCGAAAGCGUGGGGGAGCAAACAGGAUUAGAUACCCUGGUAGUCCACGCCCUAAACGAUGUCAACUAGUUGUUGGGGAUUCAUUUCCUUAGUAACGUAGCUAACGCGUGAAGUUGACCGCCUGGGGAGUACGGUCGCAAGAUUAAAACUCAA
rnacentral:rRNA from 1 species